UACGGGGGGGCAAGCGUUGUUCGGAAUUACUGGGCGUAAAGGGCUCGUAGGCGGCCAACUAAGUCAUACGUGAAAUCCCCGGCUUAACCGGGGAACUGCGUCUGAUACUGGAUGGCUUGAGUUCGGGAGAGGGAUGCGGAAUUCCAGGUGUAGCGGUGAAAUGCGUAGAUAUCUGGAGGAACACCGGUGGCGAAGGCGGCAUCCUGGACCGAUACUGACGCUGAGGAGCGAAAGCCAGGGGAGCAAACGGGG
rnacentral:rRNA from 1 species